UUUAGUAGUUGAAACAUUGGUAAAAUGUACGCAUUUUUUGUACAUAUUACCAAAACUUUGUAAAACGGAUGUCUUAUGCAAUAUACAUCCCUACUAAAGAUUCGUACAUUUUACUUCAUAGCAUGUGUAACCUUGAUUGUUUUCAUUUCUAGGAACUGUAAUGUGCGUAUUUCGCAGUCGUCAUUCUUCUUGAGGAAACAAAGCCAUUCGGAGUUUCUAACCUUGGAUUAAAAUUGCACAGUUUACUGGUGGAAUAUUCAAUGUAUACUAGACUAAGCAUUUGCAACACAAAUAAAUGUCAGGAAACGGGAUAGCAAAUAAUGCGGAUGAAAUGUACUGCGAU